GUAGUUUGAUCUUGGCUCAGAUUGAACGCUGGCGGCAUGCCUUACACAUGCAAGUCGAACGGCAGCAUGAUCUAGCUUGCUAGAUUGAUGGCGAGUGGCGAACGGGUGAGUAAUACAUCGGAACGUGCCCUGUAGUGGGGAUAACUAGUCGAAAGAUUAGCUAAUACCGCAUACGACCUGAGGGUGAAAGUGGGGGACCGCAAGGCCUCAU
rnacentral:rRNA from 1 species